rnacentral:rRNA from 1 species
AUGGAGGCGGCGAUUGGCCUCGCCACCGGGCUCGUCGACAGCGUGCUGACUCUGCUUUCCAAUGAGCUUGUGGGGGCGUAUGUUGCUAGCGCUGAGCUCGGCCUCAAUUGCAGGGAGAUAAAGCGUGACCUGAUGUUCACGCAAGGACUGUUGCACGAGGCUCAGAGAAGUGGCGUGGUUGACAACCACGGUCUCCAAGGGCUGAUGCAGGAGCUCAGCACCAAGGCUGACGAGGCUGAGGAUGCACUGGAUGAGCUCCACUACUUCAUCAUCCAGGAUGAUCUCGACGGCACCAACUAUGCCGUACCGGAUCUGGGUGAUGAGCUUCGAGGUCAUGCUCGCCAUGGUCGGCUUGCUCUUCGCCACACUAUUGGUCUCAGAGCACAAAGGUAUUUUCAUCGAUGGCUUCCUUGCAGUACUGGUCGAUUCUCUGGUGCAUGCAAUUGCUUCCAGGUGGUAAGUGCUCCAUCUUGUUGGAUUAACACAAAUUUUUGCUUAGCCUUUUUUUGUCCACGCUAA